rnacentral:rRNA from 1 species
ACCCGCUGAACUUAAGCAUAUCAAUAAGCGGAGGAAAAGAAACCAACAGGGAUUGCCCUAGUAACGGCGAGUGAAGCGGCAUCAGCUCAAAUUUGAAAUCUGGCUCUUUUAGGGUCCGAGUUGUAAUUUGCAGAGGGCGCUUUGGCAUAGGCAGCGAUUCAAGUUCCUUGGAACAGGACGUCACAGAGGGUGAGAAUCCCGUACGUGGUCGCUAGCUCUUGCCGUGUAAAGCCCCUUCGACGAGUCGAGUUGUUUGGGAAUGCAGCUCUAAAUGGGAGGUAAAUUUCUUCUAAAGCUAAAUAUUGGCCAGAGACCGAUAGCGCACAAGUAGAGUGAUCGAAAGAUGAAAAGUACUUUGGAAAGAGAGUCAAAAAGCACGUGAAAUUGUUGAAAGGGAAGCGCUUGCAGCCAGACUUGCCUGUAGUUGCUCAUCCGGGCUCUUGCCCGGUGCACUCUUCUGUAGGCAGGCCAGCAUCAGUUUGGGCGGUUGGAUAAAGGUCUCUGUCAUGUACCUCUCUUCGGGGAGGCCUUAUAGGGGAGGCGACAUACAACCAGCCUGGACUGAGGUCCGCGCAUUCGUGCUAGGAUGCUGGCGUAAUGGCUGU